CCUACGGGGCGCAGCAGUGGGGGAUAUUGCACAAUGGGGGAAACCCUGAUGCAGCGACGCCGCGUGAGUGAAGAAGUAUUUCGGUAUGUAAAGCUCUAUCAGCAGGGAAGAAAAUGACAGUACCUGACCAAGAAUCCCCGGCGAACUACGUAACAGCAGCCGCGGUAAUACGUAGGGGGCAAGCGUUAUACGGAUUUACUGGGUGUAAAGGGAGCGUAGACGGUUAUGUAAGUCUGGAGUGAAAGCCCGGGGCCCAACCCCAGGAUUGCUUUGGAAACUGUGAAACUGGAGUACAGGAGGGGCAGGCGGAAUUCGUGGUGUAGCGGUGAAAUGCGUAGAUAUCAGGAGGAACACCGGCGGCGAAGGCGGCCUGCUGGACUGAAACUGACGUUGAGGCUCGAAAGUGUGGGUAGCAAACAGGAUUAGAUACCCUUGUAGUC
rnacentral:rRNA from 1 species